UGGUGAGUAACACGUGGGAAACCUGCCCAGAAGCGGGGGAUAACACCUGGAAACAGAUGCUAAUACCGCAUAACAACUUGGACCGCAUGGUCCGAGUUUGAAAGAUGGCUUCGGCUAUCACUUUUGGAUGGUCCCGCGGCGUAUUAGCUAGAUGGUGGGGUAACGGCUCACCAUGGCAAUGAUCACGUAAGCCGACCUGAGAGGGGUUAAUUCGGCCCACAUUGGGACUGAGACCACGGCCCAAACUCCUACCGGGAGGCCAGCAGUUAGGGAAUCUUCCACAAUGGACCGAAAGUUCUGAAUGGAGGCAACGCCGCGUGAGUGAAAGAACGGGUUUUCGGCUUCGUAAAACUUCUGUUGUUMAAGRAGAACAUAUCUGAGAGUAACUGUUCAGGUAUUGACGGUAUUUAAYCAGAAAGUCCACGGCUAACUACGUGCCAGCAGCCGCGGUAAUACGUAGGUGGCAAGCGUUGUCCCGGAUUUAUUGGGCGUAAAGCGAGCGCAGGCGGUUUUUUAAGUCUGAUGUGAAAGCCUUCGGCUCAWCCGAAGAAGUGCAUCGGAAACUGGGAAACUUGAGUGCAGAAGAGGACAGUGGAACUCCAUGUGUAGCGGUGAAAUGCGUAGAUAUAUGGAAGAACACCAGUGGCGAAGGCGGCUGUCUGGUCUGUAACUGACGCUGAGGCUCGAAAGUAUGGGUAGCAAACAGGAUUAGAUACCCUGGUAGUCCAUACCGUAAACGAUGAAUGCUAAGUGUUGGAGGGUUUCCGCCCUUCAGUGCUGCAGCUAACGCAUUAAGCAUUCCGCCUGGGGAGUACGGCCGCAAGGCUGAAACUCAAAGGAAUUGACGGGGGCYCGCACAAGCGGUGGAGCAUGUGGGUUUAAUUUCGAAGCUACGCGAAGAACCUUACCAGGUCUUGACAUACUAUGCAAAUCUAAGAGAUUAGACGUUCCCUUCGGGGACAUGGAUACAGGUGGUGCAUGGUUGUCGUCAGCUCGUGUCGUGAGAUGUUGGGUUAAGUCCCUGCAACGAGCGCAACCCUUAUUAUCAGUUGCCAGCAUUAAGUUGGGCACUCUGGUGAGACUGCCGGUGACAAACCGGAGGAAGGUGGGGAUGACGUCAAAUCAUCAUGCCCCUUAUGACCUGGGCUACAACACACGUGCCUACAAUGGAGUGGAUACAACGAGAGUUGCGCAACUCGCGAGAGUAAGCUAAUCUCUUAAAGCCAUUCUCAGUUCGGAUUGUAGGCUGCAACUCGCCUACAUGAAGUCGGAAUCGCUAGUAAUCGCGGAUCAGCAUGCCGCGGUGAAUACGUUCCCGGGCCUUGUACA
rnacentral:rRNA from 2 species